rnacentral:lncRNA from 1 species
GUUUUAACAAACGCACACACCCAUGUAACCACUCCAAUCAGGAUACAGAAAAUUUUCCUUCACUGCAGAAAGCGCUCUCGUCCACUUCUGCAGUGGCCUGCCCUCCUGCCCACUUCUCACCGCUAUCGCAGAGCAAAUCUUCUUAAAAUAACUUUGAUUGCAACCAAGGGUAUGCAUUAGUCAAGCUUUAUGGCAUUCAUCCAGCGAUCUCCAACGUAGCAUGGAUAGACUGGAGAGAAGCAGCAAGAAGAGGAGGACAAUGGUGGUGAAUUCUUGGUGCCCCAGCACCAUGUUUGGGAAGUCACCGAACUUGGGGUCAUCUGCGGCUGGCUGGUGUCAGAUGACCUCACUCACAUGUCUGGUGGUUCUGUUGCAAUGUGUCAGCUGGAGCAACGGGAGUAUCUUGGCUAUCUGAUUAUGAUCAUCCAACAGUCUAGCUGAGGCCUAUUCCUAUGGUGGCACUGGCAAGCAUUCCAAGACUCGGUAUAAAAAUAGACUUGGUCUCAUUUUCAAAUUCCAUUGGCCAAAAAAUUUGUAGGUAAGCCCAAAGUAAGAGUGGGUGGUGACCACGUGAGGGGGUGGAUACAAGAACAAGUGAAAAAUUGAGGACCAUUAUUUCUUUAAUCCACCACAGAUAAAAAGUGUGAACUCAAUUUUAAUAACAUAUGGAGGAAAAUGGAAUUAAAAAUUAAAGCAUCCAUUUGAAAAAUUAUUGCCUUUGAAUGAUAAAAUUGGCUCUAAGGGUGCAGCUUCUUUGAAUAACACCAUAGUUUUUUAUCAUAUCAUCCUAUAUUGUUAAGAGGUUACUCCUUCCCUAAGCAAGAUGUUUCUUUCCAUGUGGAAUAAGCUCCACUAGGAUAACACUCUUGGCCUUUCUACAGCCCCUCACCCGCUGCUCCUUAUGGGAGAAGGAAUGAAUUCUCUUUGAUAUGUUCAAGAAGAAUAUAUUGAGUGGCUCUUUUCUCUUACUCAUGGAGCUGAAGCUGCCUGAAGACAGCACAGGCUCUUUUCCACCAGGUAAAAGACCUGCCCAGUGUGACUGGGUAUAUGAGUCUGCUUAAUUCUCUAAUUUAACAUUAUGAAGA